UCACUAUGUAGACCAGGCUAGCCUCUAACUCACAGAAAUACUCCCGAUUCUGCCUCCUGAGGGCUGAGAUUUCUUUGAUUUGUGAGUCUUUGGAUGGCCACUGCUAUGAAUGCUCAAUCUGCACAGUAUUCUAAAAACACAAGUUUCAAAAUCAGAUUUUUACAGUAGUCAGCAUGUAUAGUGUCUGCCUUGAUAUGAAAAGUCGGAAGCUCUGGUUCUCUCUGCAUCCCUCCUUCUUUUAUGGUACACUACUGCUUAGGCCCAUAAUAUGAUGUGGCAUCACACCUGGUGAGCCCGAUGUUACCCACAAUGCUUUUCUCUCUUUCCUCCUGCAGCUGUUUCCUUUCUUUGAGAAUGCCUAGAACAUCUCACCAGUUUAACCACUCCUGGGAAUUUCUUCUUAAAAGAAAUUACUGAGUGACUCAUGGACCCUCUGGAUAACAGGAAUCACAAUGUGUACUUCAUCCAAUUAUGUGAAAAGGCUUCCACCUGUUCUACUGAAUGUUGAUCCAUUAUCCCUUCUUGUCAAGAAGGUAUAAUGUCUCAAGAUGGAAACAUUACACAGCUAAGCUCGCCUACCGAAAGGAGACAGAUUUUCAGUUCAAUCAUGAAGAUCACCUCCUCUCUAUUCUAUGGAAAAGAGAAGUCUCCUACGAACCAGUGGUCCCCAAAGACAGAAAACAAAAGUAUGGGAGAGACUUGUAGGGCAAGGAAGAGAGGAAAAAAGGAAGGAGUGGAAGGAAGCACCCUGAAUCUCCAGUCAUAGUGAACUCGGGGUAAACAGCAUUCAUCAGAAAAACAAGAAUUCACAACAGUGCCGAUUGGUGCAACCCACGAGAAAGGGAAAGUAAGGAUGAAUAUGGAGCACACAUUUGUAAAGCAAAUGAAUGCAGGUAGAGGAGAAUCAGAUUGCAACAAUAUAUUAUUAAUAGACUCUUAUCCAACCCUCUCGAAGUGUGAAUCACAAGGGAGUUAACGACAGAUAUAAAUACAAACAGACAUCAACAAGCUAACAUAAUAAACUAGACUGAAUUGCUUGGUAUUAAACUGCAAGGUAAAUGUAUAUACUUUCUUUCUUUUCAAGAAACUGACUUAAGAAAAAAAAAACUUCUCGUAUGGUAUCCACAAUGGAACUCUGGUCAUUUAACUAUGGAAAGAACUCAUCCAUCUCUCCCUAUACACGAAAUAAUAAAAGGAAAACUCACUUUUAAAAAAUGAGCUGUAAGAUUAGGUCCUGGCAUCUGAAAAGCCUCUAAUCACAGCAUAAUUAAAAUGCAAUACAUUGUAUCGUGAAUUAUAUAUUAACAAAACUGUUCUAUGACUAUAAUUCAUAGUCAUAAGGCAUCUCUAUGGAACAAGAGAAGAGCUAUAUACCAGUCAAAUGCAGUGUGCUCAGACUACAGAAUGUCAGAGGGCAAUAAAGAGAACUGAGUCAGCCCAUCAAAAACAGAACGUCAAAGUAUAGAAGUAAAGCAAAAGGAACUGAUUAAUAGGAGUUGUUUAGUAUUAUCCCCAUUUGCAUAAAAUAAAAUAAAGCAAAAUAGAUAUGUUGAAUGGAUAUAAAGAUAUAAAUAUGCCACUGAAAAAAGACCUGGGAUUUUUUUUUUUUUUUUAGCAAUCUUAUUCUGUAGGGAAGACAGACUGAAGGAAGGUAUCAUCAAGGCAGGGCUAUAUCUUUGUUUAUUGGCAUAUAUUAACAUAUAUUACAAAAAAUAAUAGUGUCCAUUAUUACAUUUCCCUUGGCAGCUAUU
rnacentral:sRNA from 1 species